UCUCCGUUGGUGAACCAGCGGAGGGAUCAUUACCGAGUUUACAAACUCCCAAACCCUUUGUGAACCUUACCAUAUUGUUGCUUCGGCGGGACCGCCCCGGCGCCUUCGGGCCCGGAACCAGGCGCCCGCCGGAGGCCCCAAACGCUUUGUUUUUACACUGGCCUCUCUGAGUUAUUGUACUGUAAUAAGUCAAAACUUUCAACAACGGAUCUCUUGGCUCUG
rnacentral:misc_RNA from 1 species